AAGCCAGAACAGAGGGAGGGACAGAGUCCCCCUCCAGGCAUCUGGCACAGUUCCGUAGAGGUCUUUUCAUUUCCAACCUUAAUUUCUGCUUUUGUCACUCUACUGUGUCCCCGUGGCCUCAUAUUUUCCUUUACCCCUGGAAUCCUGGCUGCUUCUCUCAGUUUGGCAGUCACGGCCCUUCUGUUUGUGAAUCUUCGCCGGCUCUGUCCUUUCCGACACCCGCCCGCUGUGUGCUCUGUGGACAUCUGGGCACGGGUCCAGGGCCUGGAGUUGGAGGCCCAAAUUCAGCUUUAUGCAGCGUUGGGGGCUGUAUGUCCGAGAGAAGUCCUGCUAUUGGAGCCUGGGACAAGGAUUUAACGAGCUUGUUUGGUCUAAAUCUGGAGGCAGAGGUCAGUGGCAGCAGGACAUCCGUCCCCCCUUGGGACAGCCCAGCCACUGACAGCAGAGGCUGGACCCGACAGGAGCAAUGCAGUGCACGCUGGCUGUCCCAGGCUGGAUGUGGACAUGCCAUUCUAGAUCACUUCAUGUGAUGUGAAGAGUUGAAAGGUAUGGAUCCCGCCCACCCCUGCCCACCAUCAUUAAGAGUUUAAAACCAGAAGAACUUUGAGCCUGGAAUUGGACCGAGAUAUGGUGUGCACGAUCAUAUGCAAUGUAAGCAGUUGCGAGCACUCUUCCAGAAGAUGGUAAAAGAACAGAGAGAAGGCUUCCUCCCAAAAGGUAGUUAAACGAUGGAGGUCGAUACACAAACACAUGUGUAUUAAUAAAACCCAUCAAACAUGGCUUUGAACUGAAAAAUGAAGGGCCUCCAGCAUCAAAGCUUCCCAAGGGGCCCUGGGUGAGGCAAGCUUCUGGUCUGUGUGCUUCUUAAUCAUUUCCCUCUCCUUCACCUCCUCUUCCCUCCCUAGUGCACCCCAAUCUUCCUGUGGGAGUCCCCACUGAAGGGACCCCACUAAGGUUACCAGUGGUGCCCUUGUGGCCAUACCUCAUGGGGACUUGUUGGUAAUUUUCUUGCUUGGCCUCCGAAGAAUUGAUGCUGCCUUUUGGACCCUCUCUCCUCUCUCGAUGGCCUAUGGAACUAUUCUUGCAAUGUCCCCACCAUACCUCUGACUGCUCCUUCUUGGUUGUCUGAGUGUGUCCCUCUACACCUUCUUGCUCCUAAACCCUUGCAGUUCCCCCCACUUAUGUCCCACCUUCUAUUCUUUUCUCAACAUCCUCUCCUCCACCUGUGCCUUCAACCUGUAUCCUGGUGACCCCCAAGGCUCAUCUCUUGCCCCAAUUUUCUUCCUGACUCCAGAACCACAGGGCCAUUAGCUUAUGAGACUUUGGCCCUCAGACACUGCACAGACACCUCCAGUUCAAUGUGUCCAGAAUAGAACUUGUCAGCUUCUCCUACAAACCUGUUUCUUGCUCCACUCCACUCCUCCACUUCCAAUCAGUCCCCAAAUCCUGGGAAGGAGGGCAGUGGCUUACAGAAUAUCUCCUAAAUCUCUCUCCUGGGUUUCAUGCCCUAACACUGUCCUAGCUGAGACCUUGCCAUUUCUUACCUGGAUUCCUGCAAUCACCUCUGAUCCCACCUUCCCUCUCUCUGCCUUCUCUGUGCCGUGGUCAUAGUGACAUGGCCUCCCUGCUUAAACCCUCCAGAGUCUCCCAUCAAGGUCAGAAUAAAUUCAAAGAUGCAUGAGUAACACAUGAGGUAUUGCCUGAUUUGGCCCCACCUCAUCUUAGCUGCAAUAAGGCUCCAAGUCCAAGCUCCUCCACUUACUGGCUGUGUGACUUUGGGCAAAUAACUUAACCUCUCUGUGUCUUAUUCUCUCCAUAUACAAACAAUGAUUCUAACGUCUGUUAUGACAAUGCAAUGAAAAAUGCACAUGGGUGCUUAAUACUGUGCCUGGCAUAUAGUGGACUGUCAUUGACACUCUCAUCUUUGUGGAGAAGUCGCCAUCCCCACACUCCAGAUACACCAUGGCCCCAAACUCCAAGGAUCUCUUGUUAUUCCCCCCCGCAUGGGUCAGCCUGUUACCUCUUCCUCUGCCUGAAAUUCCUUUCCUCUUCUUUCCCCACCUUCUUCCCAGGCUUCUCCUUCUUGAGACCCCACUCAGGGAUCACACUUUUCUGAAACCUUCCUCCCCUUCCUUCAUCCUCCGAUCAUGGCUGGGCUCUCUAAGCAUUGUUUAGCUCACCAGCGGUAGCAAAUUCCUCACUGGAAGGCAGAUUACAGAUUACAUGCUUUGCCCUGCACAGUGUCUUUCAAACUCUUUGAAUUUGUUACAACAUUGAAAAGUUGGGAGACCUCACGUGAAAAUCUAGAUUUCUGGCAACUCCUGAAAAGACAUGUACUAGAAUGUUCUCAGUAGUAUUAUUUGCAAUAGUUAAUGAACAUAUUAGUCUAUUCGUACAAUGAAGUACUACACAGCAGCCAUUGCUAUAUAGCUGCAAUAUUAAACAUGAACCAUACAUGAAUAGCACACGUGAAUCCCACAUAGCAUGGAAAGAGCUGGGCACAGAAGUGUACAUAUGGCAGAUACCCAUUAUAUCAAGUUCAAGAAUAGUCUAAACAACGUCUGCACUUGAUGUCAGCACGACAGAUAUAGGGGAUGUAAACCUGCUUGAAAGGGGCAUGAGGGGCCUCUGAGCUGGUGGCAAUAUUCUGUUGUUGAUCUGGGCGGUGGUCACCUGGUGGUAUUCUAUUUCUGAAAACUCUCCGAGGGGCUAGUUUAUGAUUUGUGCACCUCUCUGUGUGUCUAUUACACUUGACCAAAAAAUUCUGUAAAAGAUCAUGUUGCAUAACUUGAUCACCCAUCAUAUUCAUAAGACUUUGCUCUAAAUAACUUCAUUCUUCCCAAAAUUCAAAUGGACUUUCAGAAGACAGAGAUUCGCCAUGUUGAGAAUAUUUAAGAAAACAUUUUGGGCAUUGGUAGCCUUUCUGAUGGACGAAUCCAGAAAUGCUCUGAGCCAGUAGUGGGUGCCCCCCUCCCCCCCAGUGGCUGUGUCCCCAGGGCACUGGGGAGGGCGAAUUAGGAGGGAAAGCUCUUUGGGCCUUGAGGUGGGCCUGCCUGCUGGUGGAGGUGACUUAGGAAGGGCUCUCGUUCUGAAUUUGCUUCCUUGACGCAGGCCUAACUCUAAGACUGUUAAAUAUGGGUCAUUUGUCCAUUAACUUAUGCACCCAUUAAAAACACUGCUGUGUGGAUUUGAGAAUUUUGAUCUUCUGCCUUACAAUGCAAACCCCAGGAGGCUGGCCGGAAAUGUCCCAUGAUGGGAGGCUCUUGAGGACUCCCUGCUGCUUGGCCAGACAGGGCCAGAGAAGGGAUUUCCCAGCUUCUUGGCUUCCCGUGGGUUUUCCCCUCCUGACUCCCACUGUGGCAGUGUGGGCUGUGCAGAAACCGCCCUCUCUGUGGAGGCCCGUGGCCGCCCUCCCUCCUUGGCAUGGAAAGCCUGCUCCCUGGGAAAUGCUAGUGCAGUCCCAGUGCUCUGUGUGUCCCAGAAGCAGCUCAGGGGCCACAGGCUGGCUGGGCCACUGGUGGGCUCUUUGCUGGGUGGGUCCUGGGAAGGUCUGCCCUCCUUCCGGAAACAAAUCUUUGUUCUGCCUAGUCACAAGCAGGCUUAUCUAUCAGGGUCAACCUCUUCCAGGUUUCACUGUAGGGCGGAACAAACCAUCCUGGAGGCAGCCACCUGUUGAGUUUGCUCCAGAGCUGAGUCAAGGAGGAACCGCCAACUAGGACUUGGUUCAAAGACCAGAGGCUGUAGCUGCCUCCAGGGAGAAGGGCUGGGUGGGCCACAGGGUUUGUAAGGAGGGCUCUAGGGCGAGCCAUCAGCACAAGCCAAUGCAGAUUUAUUGAGGCCUACCUCACUGUUAGUGAAAGGCCUGGCACCAGGCCAGGUUCUAACAGUUGAUUCUGUGGGUUGAAAUAAUGAAUGAGGGGCACCUGGGUGGCUCAGUCGGUUGAGCAUAUGACUUCAGCUCAGGGCAUGAUCUCACAGU